UAAGGAAUAUUGCAAAAUGGGCGAAAGCACGAUGCAGCAACGCCGCGUGGGCGAUGAAGGCCUUCGGGUCGUAAAGCCCUUUUUGAGGGGAUGAGGAAGGACAGUACCCUCAGAAUAAGCCUCGGCUAACUACGUGCCAGCAGCCGCGGUAAAACGUAGGAGGCGAGCGUUAUCCGGAUUUACUGGGCGUAAAGCGCGUGCAGGCGGAUUGGAGAGUUGGAUGUGAAAGCUCCCGGCUUAACUGGGAGAGGUCGUUCAAUACUUACAGGCUUGAGUGCAGGAGAGGGAAGUGGAAUUCCGGGUGUAGUGGUGAAAUGCGUAGAUAUCCGGAGGAACACCAGUGGCGAAAGCGGCUUCCUGGACUGUAACUGACGCUCAGACGCGAAAGCUAGGGUAGCAAACG
rnacentral:rRNA from 1 species